rnacentral:misc_RNA from 1 species
AAGUCGUAACAAGGUUUCCGUAGGUGAACCUGCGGAAGGAUCAUUACAACGUAUCCACGUACAAACCAGUGAACUGUUCCCAACGGAAUGAGAUACAAAAGCAAUUUUGUAUUCGAGGUUGAUGGCAUGUCUGGUUCCUGCUGAUGGAGUUUCUGGGCUUUUGCCUCGAAACUAGGGCCUGACAUACCGCGAAAGCUUAUGGCUUUCGGACCUCAAGCUCUUCCGUUUGGUUGAUUACCGUCAGCAUGUAAAACCCUUUAUUAACCCUGUAACCUUUUGUACUGAACUUUGGUAGCGCUGUGGUAGUCCUUGUUGGCUUCGGUCACGGAUUGCAUUAACACAGUGUUUACUAAUUUAUUACGUAAAUAAGAACAACUCUUAACAACGGAUAUCUUGGCUCUC